AGCAAGAUUACCCGCUGAACUUAAGCAUAUCAGUAAGCGGAGGAAAAGAAAAUAACAAUGAUUACCUCAGUAGCGGCGAGUGAAGAGGUAAAGCCCAAGAUGUUAAUCCACAGCACAACUGCGGAAUUGUAAUCUAUAGUGUUUCUCAGAAGGUCGAGACUCGUCAUAAGUUCUUUGGAACAAGACACCAUAGAGGGUGAAAGUCCCGUCUUUGGAUGAGUCGAGAUGAUAUGAGAGAUUUCUAAGAGUCGUGUAGUUUUGGGAAUGCUGCACUAAGUGGGGAGGAUAAAACUUCUCCUAAGGCUAAAUAUAAGAUAGGAGACCGAUAGCAUACAAGUACUGCGAAGGAAAGGUGAAAAGAACUUUGAAAAGAGGGUCAAAAGUGCUUGAAAUUGUUAAGAGGGAAGCGAU
rnacentral:rRNA from 1 species